CCUACGGGAGGCAGCAGUGAGGAAUAUUGGUCAAUGGGCGAGAGCCUGAACCAGCCAAGUCGCGUGAGGGAGUACUGCCAUAUGGGUUGUAAACCUCUUUUGUCGGGGAGCAAAAGCCGGACGUGUCCGGCUGUGAGAGUACCCGAAGAAAAAGCAUCGGCUAACUCCGUGCCAGCAGCCGCGGUAAUACGGAGGAUGCGAGCGUUAUCCGGAUUUAUUGGGUUUAAAGGGUGCGCAGGCGGAGUUUUAAGUCAGCGGUAAAAUCGUGGGGCUCAACCCCAUCCAGCCGUUGAAACUGGGGAUCUAGAGUGUGCGAGAGGUAUGCGGAAUGCGUGGUGUAGCGGUGAAAUGCAUAGAUAUCACGCAGAACCCCGAUUGCGAAGGCAGCAUACCGGUGCACAACUGACGCUCAGGCACGAAAGCGUGGGUAUCGAACAGGAUUAGAUACCCGUGUAGUC
rnacentral:rRNA from 1 species